rnacentral:lncRNA from 1 species
UUCUUUUUCCUCUUCUCCACCUUCUCUCAAAUACUCAAAAACCAUAAUCAUUCCUCCAUUGAUUGAGCUCCAAUAAAGCGUCAAAACCAAAAAGCUUCAACCACAAAAGUGCUUUACUGCUAAAGGGAAAUCCAUUUUAACUAAUAAACUCAAGGUGAAAAAUCAUUUUAUCUCCCUCUCUUUCUUUACAUGCGGAUUAUUGGUUUGACCCUUCUUGUUUGUUGUUUUUGGUUUUGUUGAUGCUUGUAUUAAUGAAAAAUAAAUCCUUUCGCUCCUCUUUUCCUCUCAAACUCGCGAGCUCAACCAAUAGAGGGAGAUGAUUUUUGUUUGUGUGCUUUUGGUAAUAUGAAAUUGAUGUUGUGUGUUUACUUGAAAAACUAGAAGAGAAACAAAUUGGCUCAUAGUUUGUUUGAUCCACCAAUAACUCCAUAUUUCCUUUCUUUUGAAUAAACUGGAAGUGUCAAGUCGAUACAUGUGCUAAACUGUGCUAUCUGCAAUGAGCAUUUUAUGUAUGAACUUGAAUGUUGAAAGUGUAAGUAAUAAGAUGUAUCUGAGAUGCUCUUUGUCAGUGUAGAGUGCUUAGUGAGGAAGAUGUGUAUUAAUUAGGAUGUGUGAAGUAUGUCUGGUGUACUACAUGAUUGUUUGGUGUAUAUGAUAUUAUGAUGCAAUGCCUAUUAUAAUACUGGUAUAAGAGAAUCAAUUAGGGUGGCAUGUCAUACAACUUGGCCCUUCUAUUUCGUAUGCAGAUUAUUGAUCUUGACAGAGGAUUGGUUUAAAUGGUGGAACAAAAUAGGUGAAAUGUGAAUUGAAUUUUAAAGGAUGACUAGAUACAUUUCAAUUAGAAACAAGAUAGAGAAGUUUGUCUUAACAAAUUGAUUUGUUCUACAACCUAAUAAUAUUUAAUAUAUUUUGAAAGGAAUUAAACUAUUUCAAAGAGUUAGUACUUUGAAAUUAGAAAAAUAUUUAUUGAUAUUUUUGUGUGUGAUUAUGAGGUAAAUACUUCGAUUAAGUAUUUAAUCUUUAAAAAUAUAGUGAAUCAAACUUGUAGUUAUUGAGAAAAAAAAUUGUGGUUGUGUGAAAAAUUUUAAGAAAAAUAAUUUAAAAUGUUUCGAAUAAUUGUUAGUGAAUUCUCAGAAAAAUUGAAGGAUGUUUAUGUUGAGACAAACUCUAUAUUUAAAGUUUUGAUGAAAAUAAACAAAGGUUAAUUAAGAUAGUUAAUUAUGAUUCUAAAAUGUUAUGUUAAUUUAACUUGUGCUUUUGAGUGAAUUUAAUUAAAGAACAGAAUCAAGCAAAGCAAAGAAAAACAGCUCAAAACUGAAACAAGAUCAUUCUAGACAAAACGGAGAACGAUCUCCAGAUUCAAGAUUGAUUGUCACAGCAUCUUGACCAAUCAAUAUCCACCAUUUUAACAAAGUCUUUGCUUAUGAAUUUUAUACCAAUAUCAUCAGUACAUGACAAGGAACAAAUAUGAUUCAUCUCACUACGAGAAGGUUCUCGAAUCAUUAAAAUAAAAGGACUCGAAACACACCAGUUGAAAAAGUUUGAAACCACUUAAAUCAAAAUAUCAAGAAAGUUUGAUCAACCUUAAUAUAUGUUAAGACAUUACAAAGACAUCCAGAAAGAUCAAAACAGGAACUCCAAAUUGAUCAUCAAAUCUCCAGAAAGAUCCAAUUGAUAGAUCAAGAUUGAUAAUCAAUCUUCGUUUUCUGCAGAAUUAGAGCAGUGCUCUGUUUACUUCUGCAAUGGCUUAUAAUAUUUCUCCAAACUAUUUUGGCUAGAUUCAAGGCUCCAGAUCGAAGUUGUAGCAUCAAAGAUUAAGUGAGAAGCUUCAAAUGCCC